AAUGUGACUUCUGCUCAAUGUAAAUAGCCGCAGUACCCUGACUGUGCAAAGGUAGCAUAAUCAUUUGGCUUUUAAUUGAAGUCUUGCAUCAACGAAUCACGGAUGUCACUAUAUAAUUUAAUAAUUGAAUUUGGUUAUGAAGUGAAAAUACUUUAUAAAAUAAUAGACGAGAAGACCCUAGAAAUUUUGAUUUUUGUUGGGGCAACAUAGUAAUACUAUUGGUAAAGUAUAUGUGACAAAUAAAUUACUCUAGGGAUAACAGCAUAAUUAACAAUGAUUGUGACCUCGAUGUUGGAUUAGGUUAAGUAAUUA
rnacentral:rRNA from 1 species